rnacentral:rRNA from 1 species
UACGGAGGAUCCAAGCGUUAUCCGGAUUUAUUGGGUUUAAAGGGUGCGUAGGCGGCCUGUUAAGUCAGGGGUGAAAGACGGUAGCUCAACUAUCGCAGUGCUUUUGAUACUGAUGGGCUUGAAUAAACUUGAGGUAGGCGGAAUGAGACAAGUAGCGGUGAAAUGCAUAGAUAUGUCUCAGAACACCAAUUGCGAAGGCAGCUUACUAAGGUUUAAUUGACGCUGAGGCACGAAAGCGUGGGGAUCAAACAGG